rnacentral:rRNA from 1 species
UACAGAGGGGGCAAGCGUUGUUCGGAAUUACUGGGCGUAAAGGGCGCGUAGGCGGCCAACUAAGUCAGACGUGAAAUCCCCAGGCUCAACCUGGGAACUGCGUCUGAUACUGGAUGGCUUGAGUUCGGGAGAGGGAAGUGGAAUUCCAGGUGUAGCGGUGAAAUGCGUAGAUAUCUGGAGGAACACCGGUGGCGAAGGCGGCUUCCUGGACCGACACUGACGCUGAGGCGCGAAAGCUAGGGGAGCAAACGGG